UGGUAAACCUCGAAAUUUGCAGUCAGGGCUCAGCGGAGCCUGCGAAUUGAGAUGUGCAGGACAUAUUUUAAUUUUUAAUUUUGAAUUUUUAUUUUUAUUUUAAAUUUUUUAUUUUUUUUUUAAGUUUUGGUUUACGUAGUUUUCCUGGUCCGGCAAAACUAGUUUUGCCUGGUCGUGUUCAGGCAAAACUGACAGCGCUCCAGCGGAAUUAGUUUUGCCUACUUUGCGCAGGAAAAACUAGAUUCCUCGGAAAAAUACAUUUUAGCCUAGGCAAAACUAGUUUUGCCUGGAAUCGGGCUUUGCCGCUAACAUAUAUAAUUUUAAAUACACUAACGAACGCUUUAUUUGAGUUUGCAUAAGAUUCGAAAGGGGGAAGGGGAAAAAACCCCAUGCAAAAAAUUUGAAGAGUGUACUUUUUGCUGUACGCAGUCCAAAAAGUCUGAGAAACUUGUUCUCUAAUCUACCAAAUAUUUUGUUCUGGACGGUUUUUUCAUGCUAGUUCGGUGCUUCAUUGAAUUUUAAUAAUGAGCGUUUAUUCAAAGCAGCAUUAAUUUCGGUCAGACUUUUACGUAAUAUGAGAGUGAGGAACUUCUAAUCAAAAGAAUCAAUAAUAAAAUCAAUUACAAAUAAGACACUACAAAGAAGACAGUCAUGCAUUUAGUUUUCGAAGUUUCAAUCAAACGUAAUCCCAAGCGUUUUGUCUCAAACCGAAGUCAUUUGAAGAUAAAUUCUUUCGAUAGUUUGUUGUUUUCGUUUAGUUUGUUUUUGCUUCGUGAAAAUCUUACUCAUGAAGACCUAUGUAAAGAUAGAGUUAAAUUUUGUAUAGGUUUGUGACAUUUAGCUAUUUUGAAUCUUGAGUUUGGAAAAAUGAGUUUCUUCAUUGUAUUUGCGGUCCAUGCAUGCUAAAAUAUUUCUAUGACGGUUGAAAAUAAAAAUUGUAUUACGUGCGCCUAAAGUGUGGUCAAGAGCAGCUUCAAUUUUCAUUUUAUUCAUUUAUUUUUUUAACACUUCAGAAGAUCAUGUAACUGAGGAAUAUUCAAAGUCAUUUAAUAUGUCAACUAAGUGUUUAUCGACGGUGUUUCUGGCAAGAGCAAGUAUUCUUAUCGUGUCCAUUUUAAACGUUGAAGCCAAAAAAAGACCAAAAUGGUGGAUGACCACUUCCAAGCCAGUCCCCACUGCCAGGCCAAGAACACAACCAGAGAUAGAGGCACUGCUAAAAAAAGACGGUAUUAUACCCGAUGUCAUCAAAUAUGCACCUAAUGAUACAGUGCAAAUUGUGUACAAUAACAAUGAAACAGUGGUUGAUUGUGGCAAUGAGCUAACCUUCAAAGAUGUAAAAAAUGCGCCAACCUUUGUUGACUGGUUUUUGCACGAUGAGUAUGAAGUUUACACAUUAAUGCUGCUAGGACCAGAUUCUCCAACACGAGAGAAUCCAUCAAACCGCUGCUACAAACACUGGCUGGUGGCCAACAUUCCCGAGGAAAGAAUUUAUGCUGCAGAAGAAUUUGCCUCCUACACGAUUUCCACUCGGGCCUAUGAACCUGGUAGGUAUUUAACUCAAUCAUUUUACACCCAGCUCAAUUGGAAUUUCUCAAGGUGUGGCCUCAAUUUUUUGGCGCGAUGCAUUCUAGGCAUCCACCGAUUUGUUUUUGUGAUGUACAAACAGCCCGGACGGUAUCAGCUGGAGUACCGAGGAGAGAGAAUCUACAAAAAGCGAGACCUGGGAGAGCAAUGAGUGAAGAAAAGAUAGAAGCCCUGUUAAUAACCAAAGAUCAACUUAAAUGUCAGCUGGGAUGUUUCGAAACAUAUCUACAAGGUUCGAGCAUCGAUUCGCAAGUGGUGGAAGCAAGUGUCAUCGGAGGCAGGCGCGUCAAUUUCUCUGCAAUGGACUUGGCGGAAAAGUACAAUCUUGGGACUCCAAGUGCUGUGAAUUAUUUUAAAAUUAGAGUUAAAUAAAAGUUAAGAACUGAAA